UGGUAAGCAAGCUGGUGAUGAUUUUAGAUGAAAACUUGAUUUGAAAUUCCAGCUUUGCUUCAACGCAGUUCAACGUUAUGUUAUGUGAUAUUACAGUUUGAAAUUCUUCAAGGAGAUCUUCGUUUAUUGAUUUGAUUUCCCUGUGAAAAACAGAAAAAUAUGUCUUCAUGUAUCUAAGUGGAGAUCUGGAUCAAACUGUCUAUGACUUCUUUUUAGAGGAAAGUUUGUAUCAUGGCUAUAAAGGUGCCAAUAUAAGUACUUUUAAGUUAGGGGUUCCUUGUGUUCAUGUAUUCAUUUUCUCACUACAAGGAGAAUCAUAAUAUCUUUUUAAUGUGUUUUUUGAGUAUGUGAGUUUAUUUUUUGCUGACAUUAUUUUUAUAAAUGGCAAUGGUUG
rnacentral:misc_RNA from 1 species